UGGGGAAUUUUGCACAAUGGGGGAAACCCUGAUGCAGCGACGCCGCGUGAUUUAGAAGGCCUUCGGGUUGUAAAAAUCUUUUCUAUGGGAAGAAAAUGACAGUACCAUAGGAAUAAGGACCGGCUAAUUACGUGCCAGCAGCCGCGGUAAUACGUAAGGUCCGAGCGUUGUCCGGAAUCAUUGGGCGUAAAGGGUACGUAGGCGGGUAAGCAAGUUAGAAGUGAAAUCCUAUAGCUCAACUAUAGUAAGCUUUUAAAACUGCUCAUCUUGAGGUAUGGAAGGGAAAGGGGAAUUCCUAGUGUAGCGGUGAAAUGCACAGAUAUUAGGAGGAAUACCGGUGGCGAAGGCGACUUUCUGGCCAUAACCUGACGCUGAGGUACGAAAGCGUGGGUAGCAAACAGG
rnacentral:rRNA from 1 species